rnacentral:rRNA from 1 species
UGGGGAAUAUUGCACAAUGGGGGAAACCCUGAUGCAGCGACGCCGCGUGAAGGAAGAAGGCCUUCGGGUUGUAAACUUCUGUCUUCAGGGACGAUAAUGACGGUACCUGAGGAGGAAGCUCCGGCUAACUACGUGCCAGCAGCCGCGGUAAUACGUAGGGAGCGAGCGUUGUCCGGAAUUACUGGGUGUAAAGGGAGCGUAGGCGGGAUUGCAAGUUGAAUGUGAAAUCUAUGGGCUUAACCCAUAAACUGCGUUCAAAACUGCAGUUCUUGAGUGAAGUAGAGGCAGGCGGAAUUCCUAGUGUAGCGGUGAAAUGCGUAGAUAUUAGGAGGAACACCAGUGGCGAAGGCGGCCUGCUGGGCUUUAACUGACGCUGAGGCUCGAAAGCGUGGGUAGCAAACAGGAUUAGAUACCC